GAAAAUGUGUGUAAUGACCAAGACAGUUACAAUUAAGCCUUUAUACCAUCUCCUAAUUAUUCUGAUAUUGUAAUUAGGCCAAGGCAAAUGAAAGAUUAGGAAGAUAUAAGGUGUAUGCACAAAUUACAAUUUCACCUUAUGCAUGGCAAUCCCACGUGAACAGUGCACAUGCACCAUUCAAAAACUCUUAAAAAUCAUCCCAUGCACACAUUGGAAUGGUUAAAAAACUCACAUGAUGUACCAAUUUUAAAUUCAUGGUUUUCCUUCCAAAAAUCACAUGUAU
rnacentral:lncRNA from 1 species